rnacentral:rRNA from 1 species
AACGAACGCUGGCGGCAUGCCUAACACAUGCAAGUCGAACGAAGUCUUCGGACUUAGUGGCGCACGGGUGCGUAACGCGUGGGAAUCUGCCCUUGGGUACGGAAUAACUCAGAGAAAUUUGUGCUAAUACCGUAUAAUGUCUUCGGACCAAAGAUUUAUCGCCCAAGGAUGAGCCCGCGUAAGAUUAGCUAGUUGGUGGGGUAAAAGCCUACCAAGGCGACGAUCUUUAGCUGGUCUGAGAGGAUGAUCAGCCACACUGGGACUGAGACACGGCCCAGACUCCUACGGGAGGCAGCAGUGGGGAAUAUUGGACAAGGGGCGAAAGCCUGAGCCAGCAAUGCCGCGUGAGUGAUGAAGGCCCUAGGGUUGUAAAGCUCUUUUACCAGGGAUGAUAAUGACAGUACCUGGAGAAUAAGCUCCGGCUAACUCCGUG